CGAAGGGGCUAGCGUUGCUCGGAAUUACUGGGCGUAAAGGGCGCGUAGGCGGACAGUUUAGUCAGAGGUGAAAGCCCAGGGCUCAACCUUGGAAUUGCCUUUGAUACUGGCUGUCUUGAGUUCGGGAGAGGUGAGUGGAAUGCCGAGUGUAGAGGUGAAAUUCGUAGAUAUUCGGCGGAACACCAGUGGCGAAGGCGACUCACUGGCCCCGAUACUGACGCUGAGGCGCGAAAGCGUGGGGAGCAAACAGGAUU
rnacentral:rRNA from 1 species